GGGCUUGUAGCUCAAUUGGCUAGAGCGCCACAUUCGCAUUGUGGAGGUUAAGGGUUCAAGUCCCUUCAAGUCCACCA
rnacentral:tRNA from 1 species